rnacentral:rRNA from 1 species
CCUACGGGAGGCAGCAGUGAGGAAUAUUGGUCAAUGGGCGCGAGCCUGAACCAGCCAAGUCGCGUGAGGGAAGACGGUCCUAUGGAUUGUAAACCUCUUUUGUCGGGGAGCAAAAGACGCCACGCGUGGCGUUCCGAGAGUACCCGAAGAAAAAGCAUCGGCUAACUCCGUGCCAGCAGCCGCGGUAAUACGGAGGAUGCGAGCGUUAUCCGGAUUUAUUGGGUUUAAAGGGUGCGCAGGCGGGCCUUUAAGCCGGCGGGGAAAUCGCGGGGCUCAACCCCGCCGAGCCGUCGGAACUGGGGGCC